GGCAGGGAGGGGAAAGUGGGUGAUGGGCAUAGAGGAGGGCACCUGUUGGGAUGAGCACUGGGUGUUGUAUGGAAACCAAUUUGACCAUAAAUUUCAUACUAAAAAAAUAAUAAUAAUGCCUUAGGGGCACCUGGGUGGCUUAGUCUAUUGAAGUCUAGCUUUGGCUCUGGUCAUGCUCUCAUGGUUCUUGAGUUCUAGCCCCGUAUCAGGCUCUCUGCUGUUAGUGCCUGCUUGGGUUUGUUCCUCUGUCUCCCUCUCUCUCUGCCCCUCACCUGUGUUGUCUCUCUGUCUCUGUCUCUGUCUCUGUCUCUCUCUCAAAAAUAAAUAAACAUUAAAAAAAAACCCUAAAGCACAAUGCUGUAAUACUUUUCUUACUAUAUUCAAGCACCAUAGGAAACUUGAGCAGUUUAAGGUUAAAACUUUUUUUGUUCCUUCAUUUGAGUGUUAAAGUGAUAUAUUCCUACUUCUAGCAUCUUUAUUUUUUUUUAUUUUUUUAUUUUUUUUAGCAUCUUUAGAUUAGUACCAUAGUUUUCAUCUGUUCUGUGUCUGCAUUUCCAACUUUCAUAAUUCAUUAUUUAUCUGCUUUGCUGUAUUUGCUUCAUGGGCAGCUGAUGUUUAAUUUGAGGGAUAAAUUCCAUGAAUUUAUCCUAAUUUAUCCCAAUAUCCUAAUUUAUACUAAGUGUGCCUCACUUAGUAACACACAUAGUAAUUCAGAUUGUAAAUAUUGAAUAAUUACUGUCUUGUUGAAAAUAACCGUAGCCUCAUUUAUAAAAUAAUAUUAAGAAUUGGCAAAGUUAUAGCAGUUGGGGCAAUAUGUAGCAGUCCUUUGUAGAAAUAGAAUAACUUAAAAAAUUUAGAAACCAGGGGCACCUGGGUGGUUCAGUCAAGGUUAGGCGUCCUACUCUUGAUUUUGGCUCAGGUCAUGAUCUCAUGGUUCAUGAGUUCAAGAGUUGGCCACUCAGCUGACUGAGCUACCCAGGCACCCCACACAUGUCAUUUUUGAUUCAAAAAUAGUAUUACUCAGGUUAUUUACCCUAUUUACCAAGUUGAAUCUCACUGAAUCAGUUUUGGAUAUUAAAUGCAACAAAGUAAAGCCCACACUACAGAGAAGUAAAGAUUAGCCACUAACAAAGACAGUAUGAAGUUGUACAAUAAGCUUUGAAAGCAGUUCUCAAAAAAUUCUGAAUUGUUUGAGCACUGUGGGCGUAGCAUUGUUGGAGUGGGUAUAUAGCCAGCCUCCUGAGGUAUUUGCUCUGGAGGGGGCAAAGCUUAUUUGAAUUCUGGUAGUUGAGUUUAAAAAAAACAAAUCAAAACACUUAUUACUUAGGCCCAUCUUGAUCUUAAUCACUCAACUGCCAUUUCCCCCAUUGGCUAAACAAAGAUAAUGAUGUCUUCAAGCUGUUAAGGACUAAGCCCUGUGGAAAAACUUCAGUGCUAAUGUUAAACAACAACAACAACAAAAAGUAUAACUAUGUCCUCAGGGUUCCCACCCUUAGUUCUUUGGAAUUUGUUAAUCAUAUUUCAACAUUUACUCCGAAUAAGAAUGACAAAAUUGGCCAAACAAAGAAAGAAAUGUCUUAUUGAAGAUAUGGAAAUUAUGUAGAAUUUAGAUUUGAGAUUCAAAGAAUCUUGUAUUAAAAGGGCUUUAAAAUGAGUGUACUUCCUGAGUUUUGAAUUAAAUCUCCACCUUAUGUAACUUUUUUCUGAAAAUUUUUUUGUUGAUAAAUUAUGGAAUAAGUUAUGUACAGAAAGGUUCCUUAAAUUAAAAGUAGUACUAGUAAGUGGUAAAACUGGAAAAGUUACUUGAGGAUGUGUAAGUAUUGUAUUAAGGAAAUCAGUUAUUUCUAACUUAAAAAAUUUUUUUUCUAUUAUCAAAUUGUGAUCUUAGAUUAUGAGCUCUUUAAGAAAUGCCACUGGAGGGGUGCCUGGGUGGCUCAGUUGGUUGAGCGUCCAACUUGACCUGAUUUCGGCUCAGGUCAUGAUCCCAGGGUGGUGGGAUUGAGCCCAGCCUCGGUUUGAGAUUCUGUCUUUCCCUCUGCCCCUUUCCCCUGCUUUUACUCGCUCUCGCUCUCACUCUCUCUCAAAAUAAAAAUUAAAAAAUAAAAAAAAGAAAUGCCACUGGAUCUUUGAAUUUCCUUAGCAUUUGCCAUAGGACCUAAAAGAUAAAAGAAUAAAUGCUUAUCUUUUGGGGAGUCACAUCCUUUGAGAAUGGCAGCCCCCCCCUUCCUCCAAAUUCUGCAUGCAAUUUCGAGGAAUUACUGGUAUCUGAAUUUUCUCCAUAGACCUUAAGUGAUUCAACCUGUAGUCUAGGACAUGUGGUAGACUAAAGUGGCUAAAUAUUUGGACUGCUCAGUUACUUUAGUUGUGCUUUCCCUUUUGGGAAGAAAUUGCAUUUUAUUUGGAUUUUGACGUUUUAUCUAUAGUUGCCAGGUUGUCUCAAUUAGAUCUAAUGUUCUUGAUGACUGAAGGUUUUUUUUAAGUGAUUUUUUUUAAGUUUAUUUACUUAUUUUGAGAGAGAGAGAGAGAGAGAGAGAGAGAGAGAGAGAGAAGGCUCUAGUUGGGGAGGGGCAGAGAGAGAGGGAGGGAGAAUCCCAAGCAGGCUCUGCAUUGUCAGCAUAGAGCCUGAUGUGGGGCUUGAACCCGCAAACUGUGAGAUCGUGACUUGAGCCAAGGUUUGAUGCUUAACCAACUGAGCCACCCAGGCAUCCCGUGAUGACUGAAGAUUAGCUAAAAAUUAAGAUUGAAAUCUUGGUUAUAUAGUAUUAUAGCAAAUGAUAAUCUUUGUGUAGGGCUCCUCUUAUAAUGUAAAUACUAUAAAACUUGUUUAGAAGAGGUUAAGAAUUUUAGAACAGUGAUAGUGAGAGGCAUUAAUUACCAAAACCUGCCAACCAUAGCAACCUGGACCUCUGUAGUCUCAUGAAGAUAAAGAUUGCUAAGCCUCAUGUGGAAAAUUAAAAGAAAUAAAACAAAAUAAUUAAACCCAGUUCUGUUUUAGCCUUUUUAGAAUAUCAGAAGACAUUAAAAAGAAAUUUUAAAACUAGAAGUGCAUUUUGGAAUUUCUUAUAAAGUGGAGGAUUUUAAAAGAGCGACUAUAAAUGUUAUGAAUAUUCUUAUGGGGUUCUUGAUGCUUUAAAAAAUAAUUAGAAGACUACAUUUUUAAAGCUCUGCUUGUACUUUGAUAAUACUCUAUGUGCAUGCAUUUUGUUAAUAAUUUUGGUAAAGUUUAGCCAAAUAUGUACCUAUAUUUUUUUUUCCCCCAAUAUACAUAAAGUUUCCUAAAUAAAAGAUUAACUAUAUCUAGCAUGUACUGUUUACAUAUAUACCUUGAAUAAAUUAAUUAUUAACAAGGUGGAGUAGGGAGGGAACUUUUAAAGUAGGUUAAAUUUCUGUGGUGUGUGAAUUAUUAUAAACUCUUCUGGGUUAUUGUUUCAGCUACCAAAUAAGUCCUAAAGUGUGUACAUCUUUAAUUAGACCUUAAUUUUUUGCCUUCCUGUUAGACAUUUCUGCUAGUAUGGCUUUUUUUUUUUUAAUUAUGUUUUAAUUAUACUAAAAACUUAAACACUAAACUGGUCUCUACCUUUUUUCAUAAGCCUCUUUUGUAUUCACUUUCCUGGAUAUUUGACUGACACUGUCUACCCAACCACACGAGCCUAGAAGCUGGAAAUCGUUUAAGAUGAUUUCUGCUUCCUCUUUUCACAUAUCCAAUUAUUUUUAGUACCUCAUGUCUCUGGUAUUUAGCCCCUCCUUUUCAUUCCUGCUGCCACCAUGUAAGUUAUACUCAGUUGUCACUCAGACUGUGACAGUAGCCUCUUUACUGUCUUAUGCCCCUCCAGUGUAUGAUGCUCCUAGAAUAACCUUUCUAAAGUUCUUUUCUUUUUAGUUUUUUUAUUUUUUUAUUUUUGAGAGAGAGAGAGAGAGAGAGAGAGACAGACAGACAGACAGACAGUGAGUGGGGGAGGGGCAAAGAGAGGGAGAUACAGAAUCCUAAGCAGGCCCCAGACUCCAGGCUGUCAGCACAGAGUCCAGCUUGGGGCUCCAAUUCACAAACCGCGAGAUCAUGACCUGAGCUGAAGUCGGACACCUAACCAACUGAACCACCCAGGCGCCCCUCUUUCUAAAGUUCUAAUCUGGGGCGCCUGGGUGGCUCAGUCGGUUGAGCGGCUGACUUCGGCUCAGGUCACGAUCUCGCGGUUCGUGAGUUCGAGCCCCGCGUCGGGCUCUGGGCUGAUGGCUCAGAGCCUGGAGCCUGCUUCCGAUUCUGUGUCUCCCUCUCUCUCUGUCCCUCCCCCGUUCAUGCUCUGUCUCUCUCUGUCCCAAAAACAAAUAAACGUUAAAAAAAAUUUUGUUAAAAAGAAUAAAUUCCUUAAAAAAAAUAAAAAGUAAAAAAAAAUAAAAUUCUAAUCUGACCUGUCUCCACCAUCAAAAAAAAAAAAAAAAAAAAAAAAAAAAGAAAAAAGAAAAAGACGCUAUCUUCCACAAAAUGAAGUAAAAAUUUCUUUGUGUGACAUACAAAGCCCUUCAUGAUCUGGUUCUUACUUUUUCAACUGUAUUUCCAGUUCUUGCUCCAUAGGUAAUUUUUGUUUAAUUUUUUUUUUUUUUUUAAGUUUACCUAAGCAAUCUGUACUCCCAACAUGGGAUUUGAACUCAUGACCCUGAGAUAAGAGCUCCGCCAACUGAGUCAGCCAGGCAGCUCUCCAUAGAUAAUUUUUGACAGUGCCAUUGCCUAAGCUAUUUAUCUGUCUGGAAUGCCCUUUUCAACUUUUCUCUUGUUCUCUUUAGUCCAGGGAACUCCAGCUUCUAUUUUAAAACCCCAUUCACUAUGAAUGACCUGAAAAUUUCUUGGGUUCACCCCCUCUAACCUACACUCUUCCCAAUUAGACUGUUUUAAGGUAAACUUAGAUAUCCUAUUCUUUGAUCUGUAAAUACUGGAGUCCUAAAAAAAUAAGUACUCUUUUUAAAAACAUAAUUGCAUUAUUCUUAAUAAUAAUUCCUACACCUGAAACUAAUGUAACAUUAUGUGUCAAAUAUACUCAAUUAAAAAAAAAUCCUUAAUAUCUAAUAUGCAGAUUUCCCCAGUUGUCUCAUAAACUUUUAAAUUAGUUUGAAUCAGGAUCCCAUAGAAAAUCCACAAUUACAUUUGGUUGAUAUGCCUCUUAAGACUUUCUUAAUCGAUAUAUUAUCCUUUCUCCUUUUUUUAAAUGUUUGUUUUCAGUGUUUAUUCAUUUCUGAGGAGAGGGAGGAGCAGAGGCUGGAAACAGAGGAUACAAAGCAGGCUCUUUGCUGAUAGCAGAGAGCCGGAUGCGGGGUUCAAACCAAAAAACCAGGAAGGAGAUCAUGACCCUAGCUGAAGUUGGAUGUUUAAGAGACUGAGCCAGAGAGAGACAGAGCAUGAACGGAGGAGGGUCAGAGAGAGGGAGACACAGAAUCUGAAGCAGGCUCCAAGGCUCCAAGCUGUCGCCAGAGAGCUGGACGUGGGGCUCGAACUCACGGACUGUGAGAUCAUGGCCUGAGCCGAAGUCGGAUGCUUAACUGACUGAGCCAUCCAGGAGCCCCUAGAAAGUUUUAAAAGUUCCUGAAGCUAUAAAGAAAACGUCACUUAUAUUGAUGUUACUUAGAAGUAAUACUUUUUUUUUUUUUUUUAAACUAAGUUCUGUGCCCAACAUGGGGCUUGAACUGUGACUCCGAGAUCAAGAAUUGCAUGCUGUACGACUGAGCCAGCUAGGCACCCCUAGAAGUAAUACUUGUAAUACAUUUUCUUCUGAAUAUGCUAUAGUUCAUCUCAAAAAUCAGAUACUGCGUAUUCAUUUUUUAAACUUAAUAUAUUCUGAACAUUUUCCCAGCUGUUAUUUAACCUUUUCUCUCUUGUUGGACCUGGGGAUUUAUUUUCCUUUCUAAAAAAUACUAUCUUUUUUUUUCCUCCAGUUUAUUUAUUUGAGAGACAGACUGCGCCACACACAUGAGUGAUUGGAGGAGAGGCAGAGAGAGAGAGGGAGAGAGAGAGAGAAUCAUAAGCAGGCUCUGCUUAUUUUCUAGAGGGCUAGGAAACCAUUAAAGACUUGGCUACUAUGCCUUGGUUUUACAUAGUUAUAUAUGGAAAGUUAAUGGGAUUAGAUUAGCCAAAACAAUUUUGAAAAAGAAGAGCAAAGCUAGAAAAUUCAUAAUACCCAAUUUUAAGAUGCAGUAUAAAGGAAUACUAAUCAAGAGAGUGUGAUAUAUUGAACUAAAGAAACAGAAUAGAGAACUGAGAAAUAGACUUAAAUAUAGUCAACUGAUUUUUUGACAAAGGUGCAAAUAAUUCAUUGGAGAAAGGACAGUCUUUUCAACAUAUGGUGUUGGCAAAAAUUGCUCAUCUGUAUGUAAAGAAGUAAGCCUCAACCUAUAUAAUGUAUUUUAUGCAAAAAGUAACUCAGCAUGGAUCAUAAACCUAAAUGUAAAUCAUAAAGCAUUAAAACCCCUGGAAGAAAGCCUUGAGAAAAGUCUUCUUGACCUUGAGUUUGGCCGAGAGCUCUUAGAUACAGCACCAGAGGCAUGAUCCCUGAAAAGAAAAAAAUUGAUGAAGUGAACUUCAUCAAAAUUUAAAACUAUUUUCUGUGAAGGACACAGAUAAAAGAAUGAAAAGACAAGCCAUGAACUGGGAGAAUGUAUUUGUAAACCACAUAUCUGAGAAAGAAAUGAGAAUAUUCUGGGGAGGGACAUGGGAAUCUGGUGGGCGUUUCCAGGUGAUUUUGUUUUUAAAUUUUUUUUUAAUCUUUAUUUUUGAGAGAGAGAGAGAGAGAGAGACAGAGUGAGAGCAGGGGAGGAACAGAGAGAGGGAGACACAGAAUCCGAAGCUGACUCCAGACUCCAAGCUGUCAGCCCAGAGCCUGACGUGGGUCUCGAACCCAUGAACUGCGAGAUCAUGACCUGAGCCGAAGUCGGACGCUUAACCGACUGAGCCAUCCAGGCACCCCUCCAGGUGAUUCUGAUGUAAAACAAGGUUCCUAUUCUUGAUAUUCAGUGUGAUUCUGUGUUUUGCUUUAUAAGUAGAAUGACUUUAUGUUCCAGAGUUAUAUAUUUAUACAUUUUUUUAUUAGCCAAAAAAGAGGUACUUUAAAAUUCACUGUUAUGUUUAUGUGACUACUCUACCACCAAGUACCACCUUCUCAUGUAACCAUGACACAUACCUGUGAAAUUAUAACCAGAGGUUUUCUUUAAGCUUUGGAAUUUUUAUGUUAAUAGCGUAUAUAAUUUUUUCCCAAGGAUUUUUCUAUGUGAUCUUUUUAUUUUUUAGUUUACUUAAAAAAAAUUUUUUUUAACCUUUAUUUAUUUUUGGGAGUGAGACAGAGCACGAGUGGGGGAGGGUCAGAGAGGGAGACACAAUCUGAAACAGGCUCCAGCUGCUCAUUGUCAGUACAGAGCUGCACCCAGGGCUCGAACCCAUGAACUGCGAGAUCAUGACUUGAGCCCAAGUCCGAUCUUAACUGACUGAGCCACCCAGGCACCCCUAAUUUUCUUUAAUUUUUUAUUUUGAGAGAGCGAGUGAGUGUGCAAGCGUACAAACGGGAGGGGGGCAGAGAGAAGGAGAGACAGAAUCCCAGGCAGGCUUCACGCCAUCAGCACAGAGCCACAUGUGGGACUCGAACUCAUGAACUAUGAGAACAUGAUGCAAGCUGAAAUCAAGAUUCAGACACUUAACUGACGGUGCCACCCAGGCGCCCCUAUAUGGUGUUCUUAAUGAGUAGUUGAUAGUUGUGAUUUUUGUUCAGGCAAGGAAAUUACUUCAUAACAUGUCUAAUGUAUUUCUGAAGCAGUAAUUUAGUAAAUGAGAACACUAGGAAAAAGUAUUGCUAAGUUGAAUAUUUUAGCUUCUCAUGUAAUGCUCUACAAACACCUAGAGAAGGAUUUGGGGCCUAGGUAAAUCAUCAUUAUGUUAUUCUUAUAUAUAAUUAAAACUAUAAAUAUUAACUUCAGAAAUAUGGAGAACAUUUAAAGUUUGUUAUUUUUGUUUAUGUGUACUUUUGUUUACCAAUAUUGAGUGCUUACAUGUGUCAGGCACUGUUGUAGGUGCCAAGGGUACAGUGAACAAAACCCUUGACUCAUGGUGCUUAUAUUCUAGUGGGAGAGAUAGACAAUGACCAAAAAGUAUGUGGCAUCUUAGAAAGUGGUUAAGUGCUAAGGAGAAAAGAGUCAAAUAGCUAAGUAGGGGUCUGAAGUUAGGAAGAGGAUAUUAAAAAUUUUUGUGUGUGUGACAAUUUAGAUAUUUCUGAAGAAAUGUGACUUUUGGAAUGUUAUAAGGGGCAGAGUUAACUAACCAUGAAGAUCUGAAGAACAUCUUACUUGAGAGCUAAAAAAUAGUGUGUUGGGGCACCUGGGUGGCUUAGUUGGUUAAGCAUCAGAUUUAGGCUGAGGACAUGCUCAUGAUUUUGAGCUCCACAUGGGGCUUUCUGCUGUCAGCGUGAAGCCCGCUUCGGAUCCUCUGUCUCCCCCCGCCCCCCUACUCCCCUCUGCUCCUCCCCUGCUCACACUCUCUCCCUCAAAAAAAAAAAAAAAAGAAUAGUGUGUGUUAUUUUUU